rnacentral:lncRNA from 1 species
AUGGAAAAAGCAAGGUGUUAUUUAAACUGUUUGGUAAAACAACAGAGACAACACUGUGAUGUCACCAGUUCCCAUGGAUUUAAUUACCAUCUCUAUGCUGAUGAUUCUCAGGUCUACCUUUCCUGCCCCAAUCUCUCUGCUGACUCCAACUUGAAUCUCCAUCUGCCUUUCAGACAUCUCAAACUGGAGCCAAUAUGUUCAUGCCUCCUACUGAAAGACCAUCCUUGCUAUGGAUGAAACCAGCAACUGUAAAGAAGUCUUCACUGAAGAAAGUAAGGAACUUCAAAAGCUGGAGCAGACUUCAACCAAUGAACUAUUGAUGGCAAAGUCAACAGCCUGAGAAAGCAGAUGGGAGUGAUAAAGUUUAAUGCUCCUAGAGCUGACUGUUUGGUUUGGUUUGGUUUUUUCUCCCAAAGAGCCUGGGAGAAGAUAUAGAUAUAUAGAUAUAUAUACAUAUAUAUAUGUAUAUAUAUGUAUGUAUGUAUGUAUGAAGUAAUGAUGUUCACAGUGGUGGGAUGCUGGAUAUAUGCAUUUUUGUAUACCAAACACAUGGGGAGAAAGCUAGAGUGAAACAGAUUACCCCCACUAGAGAGGAAAGUUGAAGAAGUUUGACUACUUCAAUGUAUUUGAUUCAAAUCCAAAAUAUGCCUAAUGAACACAAUGCUGAGAUAUAAAAGCAAAAAGGAACAAUCUCUGCCCACAAGAAGCUUACAUUCAGAAGCUACCAGAAGGGAUAAGAGAUUGGAAAAAAACAAGGGAAUGCACAGAUGAAAUUAUCCAGAAAUCUACUAAAGCCAAAGUAAGAAGGAUAUACGUAUAAAAUAAGUAAAGUGCCUCAUAAUACAAAAACUUGAUAAUUAGCAAAGAAAGGUAUAGGUUUGUAGAAAUUAUUCCUAUUUUAUCUACUAAAGAUCCUCAACAGAAUUCAACCAUAAGUAUGAUAUUUAACUGAAACUCAUUUUUUUGUUUUUGCUAUUUAAGAAAUACAUCUUAUUUCUGGACAAAGGAGUGGUUUAAAUUUUUAAGCUUAUUCACUUGAAGGGAAAGUGAAUCACAGUUUCUAUCCUGUCUCUAGGAAUAAAACUCAUUGACUUUACUGAUAAACUUUUGGU